rnacentral:tRNA from 1 species
GUUGGUAUCGAUUAGGGGUUAAAUCACUUCGUUGUGGAACUCAACUCCGAAGAGCCGCUGGUUCGAUUCCAGCUACCGACA